rnacentral:tRNA from 1 species
GGGUUAAAGCUCAGUAGGUAGAGCGGCACGCUGUUAACGUGAUGGUCGAGAGUUCGAGUCUCUCCUGGGGCG